GAUGAACGCUGGCGGCGUGCCUAAUACAUGCAAGUCGAGCGAACAGAUGAUGAGCUUGCUCCUCUGACGUUAGCGGCGGACGGGUGAGUAACACGUGGAUAAUCUACCUAUAAGACUGGGAUAACUUCGGGAAACCGGAGCUAAUACCGGAUAAUAUAUUGAACCGCAUGGUGCAAUAGUGAAAGACGGUUUUGCUGUCACUUAUAGAUGGAUCUGCGCCGCAUUAGCUAGUUGGUAAGGUAACGGCUUACGAAGGCAACGAUGCGUGGCCGAACUGUGAGGGGGAUCGGCCGCACUGGAACUGAGACACGGUCCAGACUCCUACGGGAGGCAGCAGUAGGGAAUCUUCCGCAAUAGGCGAGAGCCUGACGGAGCGACGCCGCGUGAGUGAUGAAAGUCUUCGGAUCGUAAAGCUCUGUUAUUAGUGAAAAACAAAUGUGUCAGUAAAUGUGCACGGCUUGACGGUACCUAAUCAGAAAGCCACGGCUAACUACGUG
rnacentral:rRNA from 1 species